rnacentral:rRNA from 1 species
AGCCACAAGAUUAGAUUUCUUUCAGGGUCGUUGUAGACUACAACGUUGAUAGGACGCAGGUGUACAGGUGGUAACAUCACAGCCGAGCGUUACUAAUUGCCCGAUGACUUUCUUUUAUCCGCCUUCAAUGGUUUAUAUAUCCGUUUAGCUUCACUAUUUAUAUAAUAGACCGCUGAAUUUACUUUUGUACAUUAUGUCUACCUUAUUCAGGUGACUAUAGCAUCAGGGUUCCACCUCUUCCCAUUCCGAACAGAGAAGUUAAGCCUGAUCACGCCGAUGGUACUGCGUAACAGUGGGAGAGUAGGUAGUCGCCGUUUUUUUUAGAUGGUUCAUCCC